rnacentral:rRNA from 1 species
AUUGAACGCUGGCGGCAUGCUUUACACAUGCAAGUCGAACGGCAGCGCGGGCUUCGGCCUGGCGGCGAGUGGCGAACGGGUGAGUAAUGCAUCGGAACGUGCCCAGUAGUGGGGGAUAGCCCGGCGAAAGCCGGAUUAAUACCGCAUACAACCUGUGGGUGAAAGUGGGGGACCGAAAGGCCUCGCGCUAUUGGAGCGGCGGAUGUCGGAUUAGCUAGUUGGUGGGGUAAAGGCUUACCAAGGCGACGAUCCGUAGCUGGUCUGAGAGGACGACCAGCCACACUGGGACUGAAACACGACCCAGACUCCUACGGUAGGCAGCAGUGGGGAAUUUUGGACAAUGGGGGCAACCCUGAUCCAGCCAUGCCGCGUGCGGGAAGAAGGCCUUCGGGUUGUAAACCGCUUUUGUUCGGGAAGAAAUCCUCUGGGCUAAUACCCCGGGGGGAUGACGGUACCGGAAGAAUAAGCACCGGCUAACUACGUG